AUCGAACUAUGCCUACGCCAUGCUGUGGAUGACUUGGCUGGGGAACCGAUGAAGGUCGUGGUAAGCCGCGAAAGGCCUCGGGGAGACGCAAACAGUCUACGAUCCGAGGGUCACCGAAUGGGGAUCCCGACACAGCCUAAUAAGUUGUGUCAACCAGUAAUGGUGGGGAACGUGGGGAACCGAAACAUCCAAGUACCCACAGGAAAAGAAAACAAUUGUGAUUCCGUGAGUAACGGCGAGUGAAAGCGGAACAGGUCAAACCGAAUUCCCUUUUCGAAAGAUUAGGGUAGAUGUGGUGUUUGUGACUGCAAUAUGGACCGUCAGCGUGAAGUCGAAGACAAUGUGGAACAUUGCGCCAUAGAGGGUAAAAGCCCCGUAGACGUAAGCGCUCGGCCUAGCAGGAUCAAGACUAGCGUGGCUUGGAUUUGUCGCGCAAAUAUGGGAAAACUAUGUCCCAAACCUAAAUAUUCCCCCAGACCGAUAGCGCACUAGUAGCGUGAGCAAAAGUUGAAAAGUAUCCAAAAUAUGGGAGUGAAAAGACCCUGAAACAGCAUGGUAACAGACGUGGAUGGCUCGAAAGCGUAGAUUCUCAGCGAAGGAACUCACCGUGAGGUGUUAGUACGAGCUGAGAGGAGCGGGGUCAUCCGUUCCGUCUAGAAACACGGGCCGAGGAGUUCAGAUUCGUGGCGAGCCUAAACGUAUGUGGUGGCGUAGCGAAAGCGACCUGCACGCAGCACUUAUGUGCCAGGUGCGACGUACGAUAAGUGCGUGAAGUCACGGGUCUGAGACACGAAAGGAGUCGAUCUACCCCUGGUUAAGGUGAAGCGCUUCGAAAGGAGCGUGGAGGCCUGAAGGGUUUCUAAUAUGCAAUUUGUUCCUCUGAACUGGGGGUAGUGGCAAAAGACCAAUCUAGACUCCUGAUAGCUUGUUCCCGCCGAAGUAUAACCACAGUAUAGCGUCACCGGAGGUUGCAUGUGAGGUAGAGCUACGGACGGGUUGUCCCGGGGAGUGAAAUCCUCGCCAAUCCUUCCAACUCCGAACUUGCAUGCGCCGUAGAUGGUGGCAGACGGGCGUGUAUCCGCAAGGGAUAUGGCCGCGAGGGGUUCAACCCAGAGGUUGGUUAAGGGCCCUAAAUCCUGGUUAAAUGUUAAACUGAAUGACGUCCAACGGCUUAGACAAUGAGGCGGUAAGCUUAGAAGCAGCUAUCCGUUAAAAAAAGCGUAACAGCUUACUCAUCGAGCUGUUGGGCUCAGAAAAUGGACGGGGCUAAACCAGGUCCCGAUACCAAUCCGAACUUCAAAAGAGUUUUGGGUAGGCGGGCGAUCAGGUUGGGCUGAAGCUGGGGGGUGACUCCCAGUGGACCGGCUUGAUUUGCAGAUCUCGGCGGUAGUAGGAGCAUAGUGAGGUGAGAAUCCUCAUCGCCGAAAGCCCAAGGGUUCCUUGGCACUGUUCGUCAGCCAAGGGUUAGUCGGUCCUAAGGGUGAUCUUAACACGAAUCACUCGAAAGGGAAACAGGUUCAUAUUCCUGUACCGCGCAUAUAGGUGUGGUGACACAAGCUUUGAGCAGACACUGGUGGGUAGGUGGCCUAGGAGCGUAUCCUAGUUAAAUCCCGAAUUCUGGGGAGAACCGUUAUGGUGAGAACCAGAAGAAUGGAUGAAUAGGCUGGCCAUCGGUUGCUGGCUGCCAUCAAUCCCAACAGUCCAUGAAAAUGCGAGAAGAACGAUUAUGCGCGACCGUACCCAGAACCGUGACAGGUGUGGCUAGCUGAGAAGGCUAAGGCGUGUUAGGAGAAAUCAGGUGAAGGAAAUCGGCAAAUUAGCCCCGUAUCUUGGGUAUAAGGGGUGCCUGGAAAGGUGUAUGCCUUCCCAGGUCGCAGUGACAAGGGGCACCCGACUGUUUAAUAAAAACAUAGCAAACUGCAAGGGUGAAAACCUGUGUACAGUUUGUGAAUCCUGGCCGGUGCUGGUGAUUGAAACCUGGGUACAACCAGGCUAAGACCCAGUAAACGCCGGAGCUAACUAUGAGCUUCUUAAGGUAGGCAAAUGCCUUGUCUGCUAAUUACAGACGUCCAUGAAGGGACCAACGAGGUGCCCACUGUCUCCACCUGAAUCCUACUGAACCCACAGUCCAGCGAACAGUCUGGAAUGCACCAUCGGGAAGAGAAGACCCUGUAGAGCUUUACUGCUGUCAGAGGCUGUUGUACUGGUGCUCAUACAUAGAAUAGUCAGGAGGCGUCGAUCCUACAUUCUCCGGGAUGUAGGGGAGCCGACAGUGAAAUACUGACUUUGAGCAUUGGUACGACUCACCUCUUGCGAGGGGGACACCCUCUGCCUGGCAGUUUCACUGGGGCGGUAGCCUCUUGAAAAGAUAUCAAGAGGGCCCAAAGCCAAGCUCAACCGGGACAGAAAUCCGGUGUAGAGUGCAAGGGCAAAAGCUUGGUUGACUGUGAACUGAUAGAGAAGGUUCGCAGAUGUUAACGCAGGGCCUAGCGAUCCUUCGCAUUGCCCAUAGUAGGCGGCGGAGGUGGCGGAAAAGUUACCUCAGGGGUAACUACACUUUGAUGUUACACUAUCAAAGUGGCUAGACAAAAAGGAACUUUUCCUGCAUUGCACUUUAUCUUUUCAAGGGCACGAAAAAAUGAAACAAAAAAAUAAAGCUAAGGUGGGUCAAAUUUUACCCGAAUGAAUAAUAUACCGCAAAAAAAAGUUAUCGAGUGAGGAUUACUUACAAGUUUUCGCCUAAUGGUCAAAAGGAAAACUUGAGCGGAUUAGAACGGAUCCAACAUCUGCCUUAACCAUCAAGAAAAAAGACCCUUGGAAAAGAUGAAGAGCCAUUUUGAAAGUGUGAGGUCAAGAGGUUAUUAGAUCGGUAACUUGCCUUAAGCCGAGGCUGACAACUAAUCUAAUAACCGAAGUCGAAAAGACUGGUGUAGCCCUGAACAGAGUUGUCGUGGGUAAGAGUUCACAUCGACCUCACGGCUUGCUACCUCGAUGUCGGCUCUUCCUAGCUUGGAGGUGAUUCAGCUUCCAAGAGUGGGGUUGUUCGCCCAUUAAAAGGGAACGUGAGCUGGGUUUAGACCGUUGUGAGACAGGUUGGAUUCUAUCUGAUGGUGCUGGCGGGAGAUUGAGAGUAAAACCUCCACAGUACGAGAGGAACAGGCGGUUGGGGCCUCUGGUGUAUCGGUUGUCCUCCCGGGCAUUGCCGAGUAGCUAAGCCCUUGAAGAUAAGAGCGGAAAGCAUCUAUGCUCGAAGCUUCUCUCGAAACGAGUCUCCCAUUCUGUACCUUUUGGGGGCUGGUGACAGCAACCUUUGGUAUAGACGAGAGCACGGAAAGAAGAUCCGGUUGAUAGAGCAGGGGUGUGCGCGUCGAGCUUCGGCGAGAUGUUUAGCCCACUGCUACUAAUCGCUCAAGCGUAGUUCGAC
rnacentral:rRNA from 1 species